rnacentral:rRNA from 1 species
CCUACGGGAGGCUGCAGUGGGGAAUAUUGGGCAAUGGGCGCAAGCCUGACCCAGCAACGCCGCGUGAAGGCAGAAGGCUUUCGGGUUGUAAACUUCUUUUGUCAGGGACGAAGCAAGUGACGGUACCUGACGAAUAAGCCACGGCUAACUACGUGCCAGCAGCCGCGGUACUACGUAGGUGGCAAGCGUUAUCCGGAUUUACUGGGUGUAAAGGGCGUGUAGGCGGGGAGGCAAGUCAGAUGUGAAAACCACGGGCUCAACCUGUGGCCUGCAUUUGAAACUGUUUUUCUUGAGUGCUGGAGAGGCAAUCGGAAUUCCGUGUGUAGCGGUGAAAUGCGUAGAUAUACGGAGGAACACCAGUGGCGAAGGCGGAUUGCUGGACAGUAACUGACGCUGAGGCGCGAAAGCGUGGGGAGCAAACAGGAUUAGAUACCCUAGUAGUC